CCACAGCAGAAACAAUCAGAAAAUCAAACCACAAUGGCGGGUAUGUUCCCGCAAAGGUUCAAUUUUUGGAACUGCGAAUGUUGCAAAAAUUAUUGCUCGCAGCGCCAGUGAAGUAAAUACUUGUAGUACUUACCUAAAAUAAAGAUGUCUCUGUUCCAAGAUCCCUCAGGACAGGUUUGGAGACACAAAUACACAAGAUGAACACAGAUACAAAAGUAGACGUCCGUCCAGAUGUAAAGCUACAGUAUGACUCUCGAUUAUCUGCAUUGGUUUCCGGUCAAUCGAUUAGCCUCCCCCGUACUGUUCCGGUUACACACUAGUAAAUUUACCACAGUUCUGACGGCAGUUCCGGUCUGAAACAAAUCAGAAACAACGACAAUGGGGAGCGUACAUAUCAGACGACUUCCGAAAGUGGGGGCAGCGUCGCCGGUAUACACGAACACGCCAGCAAAAACCGAACCAUCGGAAUGGGAGAGCUCAAUGUCGUGAUG